rnacentral:rRNA from 1 species
CAGUAGCCGCGGGAAUACGGAGGGUGCAAGCGUUAAUCGGAUUUACUGGGCGUAAAGCGUGCGUAGGCGGCUUUUUAAGUCGGAUGUGAAAUCCCUGAGCUUAACUUAGGAAUUGCAUUCGAUACUGGGAAGCUAGAGUAUGGGAGAGGAUGGUAGAAUUCCAGGUGUAGCGGUGAAAUGCGUAGAGAUCUGGAGGAAUACCGAUGGCGAAGGCAGCCAUCUGGCCUAAUACUGACGCUGAGGUACGAAAGCAUGGGGAGCAAACAGGAUUAGAUACCCGUGUAGUCCCUGUCUCUUAUAC